ACGGGGGAGCAAGCGUUGUUCGGAUUUACUGGGCGUAAAGGGCGCGUAGGCGGCCACCGCAAGUCGACUGUGAAAUCUCUGGGCUUAACCCAGAAAGGUCAGCCGAUACUGCGGGGCUAGAGUGCAGAAGGGGCAACUGGAAUUCUCGGUGUAGCGGUGAAAUGCGUAGAUAUCGAGAGGAACACCUGCGGCGAAGGCGGGUUGCUGGGCUGACACUGACGCUGAGGCGCGAAAGCUAGGGGAGCGAACGGGAUUAGAUACCCCGGUAGUCCUAGCCUUAAACGAUGAAUGCUUGGUGUCUGGGGUUUUAUAGUCCCCGGGUGCCGUCGCUAACGCCUUAAGCAUUCCGCCUGGGGAGUACGUCGCAAGACUG
rnacentral:rRNA from 1 species